GAGACACCCUUAUGAAGCAGGACUUGCUUCAGUGGGGCUUUGGUGCUCACUGAGUCUGUAUCUUGAGUGUGUUGCU
rfam:Myotis lucifugus cont2.7698, whole genome shotgun sequence.